ensembl:lncRNA
GGGUUUUCCUUAUUUCCGCAAGCCUGAAUUUUUUGCUUUUUAUCUAUCCUGCUUGAUUCAUGUAAAAUUUCCCGACACAGAUUUCCUUUAUUCCCCAUGACAUGUAGUCUUUUGUAGUUCCUCUGUUCUCUGCUACAGCCAAGGAGCAAUACGAUGUGCAACCUUUAGGCUUGGCUAUGCUUCCUGAGCCUCAGUUCCCAAUUAAUUGUGAAGUGGGAAGAAACUAGGAGAAGUGAACUUUCUGGGAAGUAAUCAAGAUGGUAAUGUUGUGUGACUCCUGACUUGUCCUGUAAUGAAGACUUGAGAUCUUUGUACUUAUUAAAAACCAGGAUGAAUAUAUGUGUACAAGGGCCACUCUGGCUGUCACGGGAUUUUUGCUAAAUAAUUUUUAUCGAAUGAAUUAAUGAAUGAGAUUAUGGGCUGAACCUACGGUGCCUUCUUACAUUUUGGAAGAAGAAAGAAAGUACCUGCCUGAUUGAUUCUCCUCUCAUUUUCCAGAAACUUUAUUUCUUUUUAGAUGUGUUUUAAUGUAGCUGUGUGCUUUGCUGAUCUCCACUUUGAGUAAGAACUAGCAACAACUGAGGCUCUAGUCAACAAAUAGGAUAAAGAAGCAACCUUUGGAGCAGAAGUCAUCAGCAGGAACACAAUAAGCCAUGAAUGGAAAGGCCAGUGACACAAGGCUGACAGUCUCUCCCAGGAGUUGGUGUUGGCAGAACUUCAGCAUUUGUUGUCAUAGUAUGGAAUGAAGAUGAGAUGAAGUAUGAAUAUGCAGUGGAAUUCAUAAGAAAAAAGUGGUACAGUACCUCUAACAGCAAGCAAUUUUGUAUUCGGAGUAGUAUCCUAAAAUGUGACUACAUUUCAAAGACUCCAGUGGCCAGAGAAAUAACUUGUAAUUGAAUUAGACUGAGAUUUUUAAAGCUAUUUACCUUGGCAGUGGAAUUUGAGACAUAACCUAACUUUUCACUCAUAUCAGAUGUCAUAGUGGCUUGGUGGAUGAGUCUAAUAAGCUUCCAUAGGAGUCUUGAAAAAUAUUUUUACCAGGUCACAUACUUUGCAUAAUUGUAAUCAUCACAAAUGGAUUUGAAAUAGCAUAUUUUGAUACUUAACAAAAUAUUCUUGUAUUGAAAAUGUACUUAUCUCAUUUGUUUUUCCACGAGUCUUACAGUUUUGUGUCUAAAAACUUCUUGACAUUGGUUGUAACAAUAACUCCU